rnacentral:tRNA from 1 species
GGGGCAUUAGCGCAGUUGGGAGCGCGCCACACUGGCAGUGUAGAGGCCACGGGUUCAAGUCCCGUAUGCUCCA